UACGGAGGGUGCAAGCGUUAUCCGGAUUCACUGGGUUUAAAGGGUGCGUAGGAGGGCAGGUAAGUCAGUGGCGAAAUCCUAGAGCUUAACUCUAGAACUGCCGUUGAUACUAUCUGUCUUGAAUAUUGUGGAGGUGAGCGGAAUAUGUCAUGUAGCGGUGAAAUGCUUAGAUAUGACAUAGAACACCAAUUGCGAAGGCAGCUCGCUACACAUAUAUUGACUCUGAGGCACGAAAGCGUGGGGAUCAAACAGG
rnacentral:rRNA from 1 species